rnacentral:rRNA from 1 species
GACGAACGCUGGCGGCGUGCCUAAUACAUGCAAGUAGAACGCUGAAGGAGGAGCUUGCUCUUCUGGAUGAGUUGCGAACGGGUGAGUAACGCGUAGGUAACCUGCCUGGUAGCGGGGGAUAACUAUUGGAAACGAUAGCUAAUACCGCAUAACAGUAGAUGUUGCAUGACAUUUACUUAAAAGGUUCAAUUGCAUCACUACCAGAUGGACCUGCGUUGUAUUAGCUAGUUGGUGGGGUAACGGCUCACCAAGGCGACGAUACAUAGCCGACCUGAGAGGGUGAUCGGCCACACUGGGACUGAGACACGGCCCAGACUCCUACGGGAGGCAGCAGUAGGGAAUCUUCGGCAAUGGACGGAAGUCUGACCGAGCAACGCCGCGUGAGUGAAGAAGGUUUUCGGAUCGUAAAGCUCUGUUGUAAGAGAAGAACGAGUGUGAGAGUGGAAAGUUCACACUGUGACGGUAUCUUACCAGAAAGGGACGGCUAACUACGUG